UUGGGCUCAGUGUCAGUGGAGCUCCGGCCUUGACUUCCUGUGAAAACUGCCGUUCUCAUGGAACUCCAACGUCAGGUUUCACCGUACUGAUUGAACUGAUCCAACACUAAAAGUCCUCACUGUGUCAGUGUGCGUAGGGAUCCCCACAGCAGGUGACCUGGCCAUCCAUGAAGACUGAUGCAAGAGGAGCUUACUACUUUUGCCUACCUUUGCCUUUCCUUCCCAAAAUAAUUGCUUUAAUUAUGACAUACCAGCUUUGCGCAGCCAGCGAGUUAGCAGGAAGCCAAGCAAAAGAGGUAGUGAGGAAGUUUGUACGUGGAAAUGCUACAGCGAAGCACACAGGAAAAAGAGCUACAUUGAUAUUAAAUGAAGUUCUUUUUUUCCAGUUAUGAAACAAUAUACUUUCUGAAUAUGGAUUCAAGUCUGACUUCACCCUGAAUGUGACUUGUACGAAAUACUCCAGAGUUGGCCUGAAGAUGGAACAGUAUUUGCCUGAAACAUAGUCAUCAGGGACUAGGAGAACUGAGGCCCUGACAGAAAGAACAGAUGGACAAUGACUUGGAGAGAGGCCUGAGGAGAAGAAUUGUGUUGCACAGGUCUCUCCAACCCGGCAGUCUACUGGUAACAAUGGCGGCUGUAUGGACUUACCCUGCUGCCUCAGCCAAACUAGCCCCUGUCUCCUAAAAGGGAUUGUUUUACGGGUCUCUCCAACCUGGGGACAAUAACUGCCGUCCAGAAGAUGGAUUCUCACCUACUACCUCAGUCACACCUGCCCCCCACCCUGAAACAAAGGCCAGUGAAGAAGAGCAUGCCCAGAAGCUUGCCAAGGGUCCUGAGGUCACCCAAUGGACCAGAAAGAGACCCCUGAAUGCGAGGCCAUGCAUGCGUGGAUGGGUCCUGGCAUGCAGAGUGGGGAUUUUUCGGGCCUGUGAGUUAAGCCUGGAUUGCAAAACAAAGGCAGAGAUUGGCCGCAAACAAUGGGAGUGAGGGGGCGUGAAGAAGCAUAAAAGAUGACUCCCAAAUGGACAUCGUUAAGAUCUUCCCACCAGAGGAUCCUGGAUCACGACGCAAGACCAGCAGGACUCUACAGGACCAGAGACCAGAGGGAUGCCUUUGGAACUCGUCUGGUGGGAGCAACGUGACACAGGAGAAAAAUAUACUGGCUAGAAGGACAUCUCUCUCGAGGCUGCAUACAAUAGAAAAAGAAAUCUAGGACACAUGUUCAGCAAACACAUUCUAAAAAGGACAAAAUGUCUCCUGCUUCAGAACUUGGGCUAAACUGACAUUUUCAUUACAUGAACAAUGCACAGUUUCUAUAUGUGUCAGGCCAGUGGCACUGGACUGAAAUAGAACUUGCUGAACAGCUAAGCAGAAGUGACUGAAUAAAUUCAGAAGUUACCCUAAGAGGGCCAUUUUUUUUCCUGCAUCUCUCUAAGAAAGCUCUUUGGUUGCUAAAUCUUUCUCUCUUCGUCUGAUACAACACGAGUCUACGAGCCAGCCAGAAAUAACACCUUUCUUUUUGGUUUAGAAAAAGUUUAGCAAAGAAAUCAAAGAAAAUGUGCUGCAUUUCCAGGAUAAAAACAGGUUGACAAAUUGCUCAGAUUGUCUGAAAUAGUUCUGACAUCAUUGUACAGGACUUUAUAGAGAAGCAGCAACUCUACCGUCAGUCGGUAUCUGAAUUAGUCAGUUAGAGAAAACUUUAAUACCAAUCUUAUAAUAGGAAACCGAGUAGGUGUCAAUACAGCAGAUUAAAUCUUUGCCCAUUUUAAAUGAUUUUAACUUUAUUGACUUCAGCAGAGUCACAUCUACGCUAGUGUUCAUUAAUAGAAAAGACAGAAAAACUGGACAGAACAAUUAUAAUUUCCCAUAUAAAUUUCAGAGUAAAUUUGUUGUCACUUUUCAGAAAAUUGAUUACUGUAAUGGCAAAUCAGUGAACUUCUGUUUAACAAAUGCAACAGUAGCAUAGGAAUAGCUUAGGUCAGAAUAGGAGAGAAAAUAAAAA